UUAUUAUUUUUAUAUUUAUUUUAUCCCACCACAGUGAAUGUACUUAUGGGUUUUAGGCCAUGAGCAUACUCACAUGGGGCUUACUAUUUUUAACAUUUUUAUUUUAUUUUCAAGAUAGCAUGAAUCUAAUUAACUAAGCAAACUAUUGAAAGGAAAAGGAUAACUACCAAGUUUACCUCUUGGCAAGACGUUCGGUGUUUUUAAGUCUUCCGAACGGAACUCUCAGUUUUCUCAGUCGUCCUGGGAUUCGCUGGAUAGCGUAGUCGGUGGUUCCGGCGGCGCCUCCUCUUCGUGUAUAACUAUCUUCUCUCUCCACACCUGACUCGGUGCUACGGUCUUCUCAGGACAGUUCUGUUCAAGCUGUAUGUCUUCAGACCUUACCACUUCUCCAUUGUAGUCUCGCCGCCGGCGUCAACAGUCCGGUCAGAUCAUGCCAGAUGCACUUCAGCCAUUG
rnacentral:lncRNA from 1 species